CAGUAGCCGCGGUAAUACGAAGGGGGCUAGCGUUGCUCGGAAUUACUGGGCGUAAAGGGAGCGUAGGCGGACAUUUAAGUCAGGGGUGAAAUCCCAGAGCUCAACUCUGGAACUGCCCUUGAUACUGGGUGUCUUGAGUGUGAUAGAGGUAUGUGGAACUCCGAGUGUAGAGGUGAAAUUCGUAGAUAUUCGGAAGAACACCAGUGGCGAAGGCGACAUACUGGAUCAUUACUGACGCUGAGGCUCGAAAGCGUGGGGAGCAAACAGGAUUAGAUACCCCUGUAGUCCCUGUCUCUUAUAC
rnacentral:rRNA from 1 species